GGGGGUAGAGUAAUGGUCAACUCAUCAGGCUCAUCACCUGAAGAUUGCAGGUUCGAAUCCUGCCCCCGCCU
rnacentral:tRNA from 2 species